UUUUUUUUUUUUUUUUGGUGAUACCUGUGAGACCUUUGACAUGAGUUUAUAUCUUUAUUUGUUUUCUUUUUUUUAAAAAAGAACUUAUUGACAGUCAGCAUUUUAACAUAAUACUGGGCAAAAUUUGGACUCAAGGACUCAACUGGCUUUAGAAGCAUUUCUAUGUGGUAGAGAUGUAUAUAUUGUGCUCUCAUAGUUCAUUGCUAUUAAAGCUAAAAGUAUGUAAUUUAUUUUUUCCAAUGUUGCAGUAUAUCUUUUCUGAAAUUCUAUAGCAUAAUUGCCAUUACCUCUGUUAACUUGAAUUAUUUUUGAAAGUUCAGAACUUGUUUGUCUUUUUAAAAUAUUACAUGCCCAGUGCAUGAUAUAUCAUAGGUUCCUAAUAGGUACUGGUUGAUAACUUUUUUCAAUAAAUAAAGUCCUUGUCAAAUGACACGAAUCUCUUGAAAAUUACAUUUUUCCUUUUAAAUUGGCCCUCUGGUUUAUCUAUAAUUCAAUCAGUUUAGUUAUAAGUUAAUUUUGCUGAGUCUGAUCAAUUCAAUGUUCUAACAAGAUCAAUUUUGUGAACCCGCGAGGUUGACUGUAGUCUCUAGACAAUACUCAAAACACUGAUUCUAUUCUGGGAUGCCUCCUAAUAUCCGCCUUCACCUCCCAUGGCAACAUAUUUAUUUUUCUAAAAAUUUUCUUUCAAAUAGUUUCUGGUUUUUAAAUUCCAUUUUUUAAAAAAUUCAAGUAUGUUGACACACAAUGUUAAAAAUCCAAUUUUAAAAUGGAUAAUUAAUUAUGUGUUUGACAAGUGUUGAAAAUCUUUUUAUAACCUAUUUACCAGCAGCUCUUGGACUGAGUAGUGACCUUGAUUAGCAAACCAAUUUAUGCAAUCAGUUUAUUUAUUAAAAUAUUUAAUCUAUUCUUCUGGGAAAAAAAUAAAAUGAUACCAGAAAAUUAAAAUGAUACUAGAACUUGUCAAAAGAAAAGCUGGUCAUGUAUACAAAACAGAUGAAAGCUCUCUCCUUAUUUUGCUGUCCAUGAGACAGAUUCACUGAGCAAUUUAGUCAAUCACAAAUCUAGUAACAGGUUAAUGAUGCAAAUUUCAUCAAAACAGUUGAACUGAUAUGCAUAUAUAGACACCAUCAAUAAUUGAAUGUCUUUAGAUUUUUAAAAUAAAUUAUAGAGGACUCAACUGAAUAAACAGAGUUGACAUUAUACGUGUUCAACAGUAUUUACACACUAUUAAGAGAAAACUCUCAUUAGUAGUUUCAUUAAGAAACAAAGAAAACAAGAACAAUUUUGAAAAGUUUGCUUUAAAGGAGACCUUAAAGAGAGAGAGACUAGGAAAACUUCGUUGUCCCAUUUCAGGUUCAGGAAAUAAUAUUUAAAAGGCUUUUAUCUAAACUAAUUAAGAAAAGAUGUUGUUACACACGUGUGAAUUUUAUAUGACACAAUAAAGAGCAUUGGACAUAUUAGGGAUUUUGUGCCAGUGAUGAAUAUACUACCUCCUUAAUUUUGAAAAAGGAGAGUGCCAAAUAAUACUUCACCAAUACCAAGUGAUUUUUGAUUGAUUAUGUCUGAGUUUGAUUAUGAACUCUCUGGAGAACCUCUUCAUUUUAAAUAUUUACCUGAAUAUCUAAGUACAUUUUUAGAUCGCAUAUCUUCUAUUUACAAUUCUCUAUAGGUAGUUCCAUUCUCAGUUUGCUUCAUUUGAAAUAAUUUUCUGCUUGAAAAAAUAUGCUGCAGAAAGUAGCAAGAAAAAAAAAUCUCUACCUGAGUGCUGCAGUGUUUGCUUUAGUUGAACUCUAACGGACAAAAGCCGGGGGCGGGGGGAUACAUAUCUGAAUUAUCUAAAUCUAGAUCUAGUACAAAUAUUAUACAUUGAGGACCAAAGUAUGAUUUAAAUACAUGUGUCAAUAAGUUUCUGUGAA
rnacentral:lncRNA from 1 species